rnacentral:misc_RNA from 1 species
AAGUCGUAACAAGGUCUCCGUAGGUGAACCUGCGGAAGGAUCAUUAAAAGUUGUACCCUUCGGGGGCACUUCCACCCUUGCAAAUAUACAUCUGCUUGGUCUUCGGGGCCAAAAUUUUCUCUUGAACUUUCUUCUGAAUGAGACAAAUAAAAAAA